rnacentral:lncRNA from 1 species
GUCAGUACACAUGUUCAUAGUCUGUAUUUACAUAUAUAUGUGUAUGUAAACGCAUUGUAUGGUAUGGUGUUCUAUCAUCAUUUUUUUUUUUUUUUUUUUUUUUUUUUUUUUUUUUUUUUUUUUUUUNNNNNNNNNNUUUUUUUUUUUUUUUUUUUUUUUUUUUUUUUUUUUUUUUUUUUUUUUCUACACUCUUAUACAUUGGGAGUUUAAAUAAACAUAUUUUGGAUAAUACUUUUUUUUUUUUUUUUUUUUUUUUUCACACUACCUAACUUGGACUAAUGACUAUUAGUUGUACAAUUUUAACUGUAGCUAGGAAACAAAGGAGAAAGAAAAUCUAUCUAAUAUACAUACAUAUAAAUGCCAUUUAUUUGUAAUACAUAUACGCGUGCGUACGUACAUACGUACAUAACAUAUUGCUUAUUCCUAUAUUAACCUGUUUUGAAAGAAUUGUCGUAACAUUAUGUACUUUUUUUUAAGCAAAAAAAAUAAAAUAAAAACAGUUUUAUUUAUUUGCAUAUCCUGUCAUAUUUUUCAUUUUUUACUAUUUACUUUUUGCUUUAUUUUAUGUUUCUUCAUUUUAUGUUUCUUUAUUUUAUGUUUCUUUAUUUUAUGUUUCUUUAGUUUAUGUUUCUUUAUUUUAUGUUUCUUUAGUUUAUGUUUCUUUAGUUUAUGUUUUUUUAUUUUAUGUUUUUUUAUUUUAUUUUUUUUUAUUUUAUUUUUUUUUAUUUUAUGUUUUUUUAUUUUUGUUUUUCUGGUGUAAUAUCGUACGAAGCUAGCAUAGUGGAAUAGCCGUAGCCGUUUUUAAAUAACAUGUUAAAAAAAAAAAAUAAAACAAAACAAAAACAAACGAGUAAACAAAAAAAUAAACGAACAAAUGGAAGAGUGGGAGGAAGGAUGAAUGGACGCAUGAAAAUAGUUUUAUUUUUAAAAGCACGUUUGAUUAUAUUUAAAAUGGGAAAAAAAAAAAAAAAGAGCUCCGUUGUAGAGUUAAAUCCAAAAUGUAAAAAAAAAAAAAAAAAAAAAAAAAAAAAAAAAAAGUUAUAUACAUAUAUAUAUAUAUAUAUAUAUAUGUAUACAAUUAUAUAUAUGUAUACAAUUAUUUAUAUGUAUACAAUUAUAUAUAUGUAUACAAUUAUAUAUAUGUAUACAAUUUUUUUUUUUAAAUUGUAGAAUACAUAUGUAUAGAGACAAAAAAAAAUAAAAAAUUAAUUAGUGCAUUAAUUAGUCA